rnacentral:rRNA from 1 species
GACGAACGCUGGCGGCGUGCUUAACACAUGCAAGUCGAACGGAAAGGCCCUGCUUUUGUGGGGUGCUCGAGUGGCGAACGGGUGAGUAACACGUGAGUAACCUGCCCUUGACUUUGGGAUAACUUCAGGAAACUGGGACUAAUACCGGAUAGGAGCUCCUGCUGCAUGGUGGGGGUUGGAAAGUUUCGGCGGUUGGGGAUGGACUCGCGGCUUAUCAGCUUGUUGGUGGGGUAGUGGCUUACCAAGGCUUUGACGGGUAGCCGGCCUGAGAGGGUGACCGGCCACAUUGGGACUGAGAUACGGCCCAGACUCCUACGGGAGGCAGCAGUGGGGAAUAUUGCACAAUGGGCGGAAGCCUGAUGCAGCAACGCCGCGUGCGGGAUGACGGCCUUCGGGUUGUAAACCGCUUUCGCCUGUGACGAAGCGUGAGUGACGGUAAUGGGUAAAGAAGCACCGGCUAACUACGUGCCAGCAGCCGCGGUGAUACGUAGGGUGCGAGCGUUGUCCGGAUUUAUUGGGCGUAAAGGGCUCGUAGGUGGUUGAUCGCGUCGGAAGUGUAAUCUUGGGGCUUAACCCUGAGCGUGCUUUCGAUACGGGUUGACUUGAGGAAGGUAGGGGAGAAUGGAAUUCCUGGUGGAGCGGUGGAAUGCGCAGAUAUCAGGAGGAACACCAGUGGCGAAGGCGGUUCUCUGGGCCUUUCCUGACGCUGAGGAGCGAAAGCGUGGGGAGCGAACAGGCUUAGAUACCCUGGUAGUCCACGCUGUAAACGGUGGGUACUAGGUGUGGGGUCCAUUCCACGGGUUCCGUGCCGUAGCUAACGCUUUAAGUACCCCGCCUGGGGAGUACGGCCGCAAGGCUAAAACUCAAAGGAAUUGACGGGGCCCCGCACAAGCGGCGGAGCAUGCGGAUUAAUUCGAUGCAACGCGUAGAACCUUACCUGGGUUUGACAUGGAUCGGGAGCGCUCAGAGAUGGGUGUGCCUCUUUUGGGGUCGGUUCACAGGUGGUGCAUGGCUGUCGUCAGCUCGUGUCGUGAGAUGUUGGGUUAAGUCCCGCAACGAGCGCAACCCUUGUUCACUGUUGCCAGCACGUUAUGGUGGGGACUCAGUGGAGACCGCCGGGGUCAACUCGGAGGAAGGUGGGGAUGACGUCAAGUCAUCAUGCCCCUUAUGUCCAGGGCUUCACGCAUGCUACAAUGGCUGGUACAGAGAGUGGCGAGCCUGUGAGGGUGAGCGAAUCUCGGAAAGCCGGUCUCAGUUCGGAUUGGGGUCUGCAACUCGACCUCAUGAAGUCGGAGUCGCUAGUAAUCGCAGAUCAGCAACGCUGCGGUGAAUACGUUCCCGGG